AACGCACAUGGCGCCUUCCAGUAUCCUGGGAGGCAUGCCUGUCCGAGCGUCGUUUCAACCCUCGAGCCCCUGUGGCCCGGCGUUGGGGAUCUGCCACGGCAGGCCCCUAAAACCAGUGGCGGACCCGAAGGCCCUCUCCUUUGCGCAGUAGCAUCAGCCUCGCAUCGGGAUCCCUCGGCGUCCUUCCUCUAAACCCCCCACAAGCCCGCUCCGGCGGCACCAAGGUUGACCUCGGAUCAGGUAGGGUUACCCGCUGAACUUAA
rnacentral:misc_RNA from 1 species